rnacentral:piRNA from 1 species
UAAAUNGCUUAGACCUAUAGACGGAUAAC